rnacentral:rRNA from 1 species
UACGUAGGGUGCAAGCGUUGUCCGGAAUUAUUGGGCGUAAAGAGCUCGUAGGCGGUUUGUCGCGUCUGCUGGUGAAAACUCGGGGCUUAACUCCGGGCCUGCAGUGGGUACGGGGCAGACUAGAGUGCGGUAGGGGGAGACUGGAAUUCCUGGUGUAGCGGUGAAAUGCGCAGAUAUCAGGAGGAACACCGGUGGCGAAGGCGGGUCUCUGGGCCGAUACUGACGCUGAGGAGCGAAAGCGUGGGGAGCGAACAGG